ensembl:lncRNA
CUAGCAAUCACUUGAAUUCUUUCCUGAUAAUGAAAUAACUUUUAAAUUGGGGUGCCUUACAUACGUAAGAAAUAUAUUACAGAAAGCUUGAAAUGUCUACUUUUAAAUGAACCAAUUCAAAAUUAAAGCAAAUACUCCCUGUUUAUGUAAUCUGUGAAGGUUGCAUUUCUCUCUAAAGGUGCGUCCAGUACUGUGGAGAUGAGAGUCAGCACUGUAAAUUUCAUCUUGCAGCCGACAAGAAAACAUUAGUUUAUCAAUAAAUAAUUAAAAUCUCCUUUUUCACAAUUAUUAUUCUAUCUCUGCCUGUGCUUUGUGGCAAACUUAAUGUGUGUGCUUGAGCGCAGAAUAUAUUAAGGCUCAUUAUGGAUUAGACUGUGUUAAUUUAAUAUAAACGUGUGAUUAGUUGAACAAUGACUUAAAUUAACAACUACUAGUAACUAGAAAAAUCUUACAUGGGGGGCAGCCCUAUUAAAUACCCUCUAGACCCUCUAUACAUCUCUGUUAAAGGAGUCAUAUGAUGCUGCUAAAAAGAACAUUAUUUUGUGUAUUUGGUGUAAUGAAAUGUGUUUAUGUGGUUUAAGGUUCAAAAAAUACAUUAUUUUACACACUGUACAUUAUUGUUUCUCCUCUAUGCCCCGCCUUCUGAAACGCGUUGAUUUUUACAAAGCUCAUCGGUCUGAAAAGCGAGGUGUGCUGUGAUUGGCCAGCUAUCCAGUGCGUUGUGAUUAUGCCCCAUAACAUAUUGUUAGGCCCUGUCCGGAAGGAGGGAUGAGACAUAAACAUUAAAACCCAUUAUAAACAUGAUUUCUAGUCAUGUCCUCUUUUGGAAGGCCAAACAAAAUAGUUUUGCUUUCUCAGUGAAACAGUGUCACACACCGCGGCCUAAAGUGAGCAGAGGCGGGCAGGCUUGAGAACGGUGCGGCCGGCAGAUUCUACGAGGGAGCUUGCGGCAACCACAUGUGAUGACCCCAGGCUGGACUCCGCUUCGUCCACGGUGAAAGCUGAUCUGGCGAUCCACAGUGCAAAGUUGAUGUAUUUCCUCAGAGACCAGCACGGAUCAGCUCCAGGCAUGACGAAGCGGAUAUCAUACUCUUUUGGAAGACCAAAUAAAGUAGUUUCGAUUUCACAGUGAAACACACAGCAUCUAUACGACAUGGCGGCGACGGCAACAACAAUACUACAACAAGAAUAAAAGUAUGUCUCCUUUCUUUGCGUGAACAUCUGGGCAGCAUUAUGCAAAUCUUCCAACAUAGUGACAUAGAUAUGUGGGGGUGUUGUAGAACAAGCCGUUUUAGAGGGGGCGUGUUUGACUCCUAACUUCUAUAACUUUCUUUGGAUUUGAGACUUUAGUCUUUGCAACUUCACAGAUCUUCUUUAUGCACCAAAAGCUUGUAACACUCCAAAGAAUAAGGAAAAAUUUAAAUUGCAUCAUAUGACCCCUUUAAAGUUUU